AAUGCCGGAUGCUCCGACUCCUCGCAUGGGGUGUCGGGAAAGAUUUCAUCGGUAUGGGAUGGGGUCGCGUCCUAUCAGGUAGUCGGCGGGGUAACGGCCCACCGAGCCUACGACGGGUAGCCGGCCUGAGAGGGCGACCGGCCACAUUGGGACUGAGAUACGGCCCAGACUCCUACGGGAGGCAGCAGUGGGGAAUAUUGCACAAUGGGCGCAAGCCUGAUGCAGCGACGCCGCGUGCGGGAUGACGGCCUUCGGGUUGUAAACCGCUUUUGAUCGGGAGCAAGCCUUCGGGUGAGUGUACCUUUCGAAUAAGCACCGGCUAACUACGUGCCAGCAGCCGCGGUAAUACGUAGGGUGCAAGCGUUAUCCGGAAUUAUUGGGCGUAAAGGGCUCGUAGGCGGUUCGUCGCGUCCGGUGUGAAAGUCCAUCGCUUAACGGUGGAUCUGCGCCGGGUACGGGCGGGCUGGAGUGCGGUAGGGGAGACUGGAAUUCCCGGUGUAACGGUGGAAUGUGUAGAUAUCGGG
rnacentral:rRNA from 1 species